CAGCUUUUGUGUCUACUGGGAUUGUGUAGGACGAUGAAUCAAAGGAGUUAAGGAUCCUGGCCGUGGCCUAUUUUAAGCCGCUGACUGUACGUCACUGGAAAUAAAUUGCACCAGGGUCGAUCUGUGGACCUCUCGAAUGACGAGACCAUCACGCUCGCGAAGCAGUAAUUUCCCGUUAUACGAAGAUCGAAGUCACAUCACGUUACUAAACUGAUGACAUAAAACGAACCAACAAGAGAAACCAGAAGACCAGCAUUGCUAAAAUGAAGAUCCACCAUUGGGUUACCGAGGGAUCACCCGUCCAGUAGAGAUUUGCCGGUCGCGAUACAACCAGAGGAUACAACCCAUAGUGCUUCUGAAGUUACUCAGCUUACUCAGGACGGACCUCUGAGAAAACACCUACUGCUUUGGUCCUCACUUGCAGCAUGCAAGGCAACGUGAUAAUAACGACUUGAGAGGAGCUCUGUAAAAGGUGGUCUGGUAAUGACUUCGAGAUGAAUGCUUAGUAAAUGUAUUGUGCUGUCAGAAGGAUAGUUCAAUCUCAAAAUGAUUGUUUAAUUAUUGUACUCAUGCA